rnacentral:tRNA from 1 species
UAGACAGAAGCCUGCUGGUUUUAGGCGUCUAGCUGUUAAUUAGAAGUUUAUGGGAUCAAGGCCCAUCUGUCUAG